GAUGAAGAACGCAGUGAAAUGCGAUAAGUAAUGUGAAUUGCAGAAUUCAGUGAAUCAUCGAAUCUUUGAACGCACAUUGCGCCCCUUGGUAUUCCGAGGGGCAUGCCUAUUCGAGCGUCAUUAUCACCCCUCAAGCCUAGCUUGGUGUUGAGGCCUGCUGUCAAGGCAGCCUCUAAAAUCAGUGGCAGUGCUGUCAGGCUCUAAGCGUAGUAAAUCUAAUCGCUAUAGACACCUGGUGGACACUCGCCAGAACCCCCCCAUUUUUUAAUGAUUGACCUCGGAUUAGGUAGGGAUACCCGCUGAACUUAAGCAUAUCAAUAAGCGGAGGA
rnacentral:misc_RNA from 1 species